AGCGAACGCUGGCGGCGUGCCUAACACAUGCAAGUCGAACGUGAAAGGGAGCAAUCCCAAGUAAAGUGGCGUACGGGUGAGUAACACGUAGGUAAUCUACCCCAGAAUCUGGAAUAACCGGCCGAAAGGCUGGCUAAUACUGGAUAGAGCGACGGAAUCCGUAAUUGGGUUUUUCGGGAAAGGGAGCCUGUAAAAAGGCCUUCGUUCUGGGAUGAGCCUGCGUCCCAUCAGCUAGUUGGUGAGGUAAAAGCUUACCAAGGCAAUGACGGGUAGCUGGUCUGAAAGGACGAUCAGCCACACUGGAACUGAAACACGGUCCAGACUCCUACGGGGGGCAGCAGUGGGGAAUCUUGCGCAAUGGACGAAAGUCUGACGCAGCAACGCCGCGUGAGUGAAGAAGGCCUUCGGGUUGUAAAGCUCUGUCGAGUGGGACGAAAAUGCUUGGAGUUCACAGCUCCAGGAACUGACGGUACCACUAAAGGAAGCACCGGCUAACUCCGUG
rnacentral:rRNA from 1 species